rnacentral:lncRNA from 1 species
AAAUCACCGUGCUGCACUCCAACAGCAAUCCCACUAAACUACGCUUUGGUUUUGCUCACGCCAUGUUGCAAGAAUUUGGAACGAUACUGCUCCACCAGUGACUUAUCGACGCCUCCUUCCCCGGUAGGUUCUUUCCUUGUCCUUUUUGUAGCCUUUCCUCUCUUUUGCUCUGUCUGGCCGUCUUUUCUGUUUUUCCUUUUCUUGGGAGCAACUGAUUGAUCAUGCUCGCUCGACACAGCUUGCUGCAUCAAAUGAAAUAGGUAACCAUUUAACAUCACUUUACUGCAGUAAAACUGGAGAACUUAAUAAGGUGUAUAUUCAGGAAAGAUUUUUGUUUUUUUUAAAAAAAACUUACAUUCCCAGCAGCAAUUGGGGUUGCAUCUUUUCGAUCUCGAUCUGCCAAAACGGUACCCUCAUUUGACUUCCUUGAUCUCUUUGCAGGUCUUCCCUUUCUUACACCUUCCACAGCACUUUGAUCUCCAGCAACAGGAUCCUUGGCAGGCCCUUCGCCAGAAUCGGAUGGUUUAGAUGG